rnacentral:rRNA from 1 species
CCUACGGGUGGCUGAAGUGGGGAAUUUUGGACAAUGGGGGCAACCCUGAUCCAGCCAUGCCGCGUGCGGGAAGAAGGCCUUCGGGUUGUAAACCGCUUUUGUCAGGAGAGAAAUCUCUUGGGCUAAUACCCUGAGAGGAUGACGGUACCUGAAGAAUAAGCACCGGCUAACUACGUGCCAGCAGCCGCGGUAAUACGUAGGGUGCAAGCGUGGAUCGGAGUGUGCGGGGGCGGUGCGUGCGCAGAGGUGUGAAAUCCCCGGGCUUAACCUGGGAACUGCACGUGUGACUGCACGGCUAGAGUACGGCAGAGGGGGAUGGAAUUCCGCGUGUAGCAGUGAAAUGCGUAGAUAUGCGGAGGAACACCGAUGGCGAAGGCAGUCCCCUGGGCCUGUACUGACGCUCAUGCACGAAAGCGUGGGGAGCAAACAGGAUUAGAUACCCCUGUAGUC